GGCUCUGUAGCUCAGUUGGUUAGAGCGUUCGGUUCAUACCCGAAAGGUCAAGAGUUCGAAUCUCUUCGGAGCCACCA
rnacentral:tRNA from 15 species